UACGGAAGGGGCAAGCGUUUGUUCGGAAUCAUUGGGCGUAAAGGGCGCGUAGGUGGUUCUGUAUGUCUACCGUGAAAGCGUACGGCUCAACUGUAUUUUGUCGGUAGAAACUGCAGGACUUGAGGCUGGGAGGGGCUGGUGGAAUUCCCUGUGUAGCGGUGAAAUGCGUAGAGAUGGGGGAGAACACUCGUGGCGAAGGCGGCUCACUGGAUCGGUACUGACGCUGAGGUGCGAAAGCGUGGGGAGCAAACAGG
rnacentral:rRNA from 1 species